CUGUGUGCAUUGUGUCCGAAAACACCCACGGGGGGGAUCAUCUCAACUCAUCCACACACACACGACAAUCGAUCGCUAAAUCGAUAUCCUCCAUCCAGUGCAUCCGAAUUACCUCUUUCGUAACGUCGCCAUUUCCGUAAACGAAGGUCACCAGUGUGUGCUAGUGAGAGGGUGCAAAUCAUCCUUUUUUUGUUCAAAACUUGAAAGUGUCGUUCGUGAAGAACUGCUGCAUACUUCAAGGUCAUUAUCUAAAAUAAAAAACAGACACUUCAGCGCUGCGGGGAUUUAUUUUUAAAUAUAUUUUAUAUUUAUCCAGAGCGGGUUGUGUUUACUCGAUAAAUAAAUUAAUAUUUUAGUCUUAACUCGAGUGGGUCCUUGAUCGGGUGUUUUUAGUGCCAAAAAAGUUCGAUGGGAAAACAUCACGAGUUGAUCGUGGACUUGAGACGGAAUUCCCCGAACGAACCGUGGGGCUUUAGUUUGGUAGGGGGCGCUGACGUUAAAACACCCUUGAUCGUUACGAGGGUUGCCUUUGGAUCUCCGGCCCAAGGAGGUCUUCAACGAGGAGACAUCAUCACUAAAGUAGGCAAUUACGAUUCUAGAGACAUCAGACACGAAGAUGCUCAGAAUUUAUUUCGAAAUGCUGGCAGUAACGUUCGCUUGGUAGUUCAAAGAGAAACCGCUCCUAGACAAAAUGCCAGCACUGGAUCAUCAAGAAACAGCUCCCACUAUAGUCCCUUAUCGGUGUCUCCUAAUUUAUCGCCCAGAGGUCCGGGACUCAGUCCGGGUUAUAGUCCAGCUGGAUCGGCACUGACACCCGUAUACACGUCUCCUCUCACUCCCAUUGAUAAUAAUUACUUUGAACCUUACGAAUAUGGUCAGAGAAAGAGAGAUGGUAAUGAAGAUGGGGAGGUUCACGUCAUGAAACAGCCCUACCGCACCACCCCCUUAGUAUUACCUGGUGCCAAAGUGAAGAGGGAACCCGGACCGACUGAAAGUUAUCUGCGUCAUCAUCCUAAUCCUAGUGUACGGGCGCCGCCCCAUCAUCUUGAUUAUGGUCAUAAGGUAGCGAACACCGUUUUAGAAAGAAUAACAACUGGAGAUCCAAACAAACAGUUAGUACACAAACAAUUUAACUCUCCGAUCAACGUGUACAGUGAACCGAACAUUUUGGACACUAUCCACAGGCAGACCGGCGUGCAAGCUCCUAAGAGACACGUAAAGUUUAACCCUGCCGAGAGCGCGACUUACCAGUACCUCCAAGAGGAGGAAAUGGGAGGAUACGGAGCGCCGGUGCAGGAGGUGGUGACACCCCCGCAGAGUAAAAUUUACACACCCACCAAGGUAACAGACAUUAAAAGUACGAUUAAAACCGCUUAGUGACCGCUUGAUGAAUUAUUGAUCCAUAUGCUUCUUAAGCUGCUUUAAUGUGAGAAAAGGCCGCCAACGUAGUAAACACCAACAAUCCGCAAUAUUUAAACGCAAUCGGUCAAGAUCCGGAAGUAAUUCAGCAAAGCGGAUCGUUCAAGAGGCUAAUGAUGUCUGUCUUGCCAGGAAGCAAUUUUUAAUUUCAUUUCUAACAGUUCACUUGUAUUGUAUACAUGCACUGCUGACGACGAACAUUUUAAAAAUGUUCGAUUUAUUAUUCUAUUUUAAACGUGCCUUUCAAUAAUCAUAGAACUAGAAUCGUAAUUUUGAGCCAUUUGAGAGUCAGAAAACUUUAUUUUUAUAUCUUGCGAUUUUAUAGGAUGUUAUUGAAGGGUACUUAACAUAUUUUAAAUAAGAAAACUAAUCUACAAAAGAAAAAAAAGUACAUUCGAUCCAUUGGGAUUUUCUCUCACUACGGAAGAGUGACGUUGUAUCACAUAAGUUGAAUCUAAUAUUUGUUGUUGUUUCUUUAUUUUUUUUAAAUUAUCUUUUGGAUUAUUUUAGAUUCGAGUGGUUUCUAGUCAGAAAAAAAUUAGGUUAUUUAGUAUACAUAUUAUUAUAUAUAAUAGCAUAACCUUAUAGAUACUGUUUGUUUUCUUUGAUCAGUUAAAUCAUUGCAUACCUACUUUUAAAUCAAUAUACAUAAAUAGAAUAUAUUUACCUCAUAUUAAUUGUAAAAAAUUAGGAAUGUUUCGUAAAAAUGUACUACUUAUUCAAUACAAAAAAUUUUAUUUAUUCAAAAA